GACGUAGGGGGGCGAGCGUUUGUCCGGAUUUAUUGGGCGUAAAGCGUGCGUAGGCGGCUGCGCAAGUCGGUUGUGAAACCCCGGGGCUCGACCCCGGAACUGCAUCCGAUACUGCGUGGCUAGAGGUAGGUAGGGGGAGAUCGGAAUUCCUGGUGUAGCGGUGAAAUGCGCAGAUAUCAGGAGGAACACCGGUGGCGAAGGCGGGUCUCUGGGCCGAUACUGACGCUGAGGAGCGAAAAGCGUGGGGGAGCGAACAGG
rnacentral:rRNA from 1 species